AGCCGUGAAGAAGAUAAAAUCAGAAAAGAACUUCAAAAUCUUCAAGUUCAAAAAUUAAAACGUGGACCAUCAUCACAUAGAGAGCUUGCAAAGUCAAUAAAAGAAGAACCUCAUGGUGUUCCUAACCAAUUAGGGCACCCUGGUCAUCACGUUGGCGAUAAAAGAAGCCAUCACAAACAUCCACAUGCUGAUCGCUCUCGUUCACGCCAUCUGCAUCACGUUGGCAAGGAUGACAUCCAUGGUAAACAUCCAGAGGAAGGUCACCAUGGUCGAAAUACGGAUGGGGGUCAUCACGUUGACAACGAUCACCAUGGCAAAGAUAAACUGUCAAAAGAAGAAAAUGGCCUUAAUGCACAGAAGAGCAUUCCUUCCACUGAGGGUAGAAAAGGGAAAACGGCAAAGUUACCAUGGAUAGAUAGUGGUUUGGUGACUCAACAACCAAUGAUUCCCGAGGUUAAACUAACUAUAGAUGAUACUUCUGAUUCUACCAGUAGUCUUAAUAGAAGUGCUCGAUCAAGUCGUGAUUCGCUUGAUUCAGGGUAUAGUCUUACAAAAGCUCUGAAAAACAACCCCACUGCAAGUAUCCGGUCAUUUUAUAACGAAGCCAUCAAGAAAUUAUCCAGAGCAGAUGUUAAUUCACGCGGAAGCGAUCCCAAUCAAGAGGUAU